GACAAUAACAGAGAGGCCACACCUGUUCCCAUACCGAACACAGAAGUUAAGCUCUCUAGUGCCGAUGGUACUAGGACCGAAAGGUCCUGGGAGAGUAGGUCGUUGCCGGGU
rnacentral:rRNA from 1 species